UACGUAGGGUGCAAGCGUUGUCCGGAAUUAUUGGGCGUAAAGAGCUCGUAGGCGGUUUGUCGCGUCUGCUGUGAAAACCUGGGGCUCAACUCCGGGCCUGCAGCCGAUACGGGCAGACUAGAAUUCGGUAGGGGAGACUGGAAUUCCUGGUGUAGCGGUGAAAUGCGCAGAUAUCAGGAGGAACACCGGUGGCGAAGGCGGGUCUCUGGGCCGAUAUUGACGCUGAGGAGCGAAAGCGUGGGGAGCGAACAGG
rnacentral:rRNA from 1 species